rnacentral:lncRNA from 1 species
CUGUUGUCAAGUCAUUAUGGAUUGUACAUUACUGGUUCACUCAUAAGGUGUUUGCAUCUGAAAUGAACACAUGUAUUCUAAAACCAGAUGAAACGGGUUAUGUUCUUCCAAUAUAUGGUAUACUGGUAAGAUAUUCAACCCCUAACGAAAGGGAUUGUGCUUGAUUUUCAUAUGAUGAAAACAUUACAUUUCGAUUAGUUAAAUUGCGCUCUGAAGCUUGCAUGUCAGUAACUGCUAGUAGUCCUUUCUAAAUGUAUGUAUCAUUGUCAUUUGGCUUAGUUUCUUUUGUUACAUAUCUUGACAUUGGACACUAACUUCUUUUAAACUGAGUUUUACUAUGAACAUUGCUAUGUUUUUCUUUGUUCUACAUUACUUAAAAGUAUGAGGGGGUUAACAUCUCACACUUUAAUCAUGAAUAAUUCCAACCAGGUGAUAAACGUCAAUUAAGCUUAAUUAAGAAAUAAUUCAAGCCCCCAUGAAUUAUUUCGAUUCUAAUAGGACAAAUACAGCAAUUCUUUUGGAUCGAAUCGCUCUAGGUAGAGGCAAAUGUUUGCCCUUCCCGUAAAUUAACGCACUAUUAAAUUG